rnacentral:rRNA from 1 species
CAGUAGCCACGGGAAUACGUAGGUGGCAAGCGUUGUCCGGAAUUAUUGGGCGUAAAGGGCUCGCAGGCGGUUUCUUAAGUCUGAUGUGAAAGCCCCCGGCUCAACCGGGGAGGGUCAUUGGAAACUGGGAAACUUGAGUGCAGAAGAGGAGAGUGGAAUUCCACGUGUAGCGGUGAAAUGCGUAGAGAUGUGGAGGAACACCAGUGGCGAAGGCGACUCUCUAGUCUGUAACUGACGCUGAGGCGCGAAAGCGUGGGGAGCAAACAGGAUUAGAUACCCCUGUAGUCCCUGUCUUUAUACA